UGAUGCGACAUCUGCAACAUCAGAUGAGCUGCCUUCCAGCUGCAUGACCAGCCUUUGAGAGUCCUGUUGACACGCCUUUUGAAGAACCCCACGUCAUAGCACAAAGGAAAUACUUCAAGAGAAAGAUCAUUCCAUAUUUUACAGAAAUAGACGAAGGGACACCAAAUCGUCAGUGAGUUUGGGAUCAUCGACAACUCGAACAGUCCUACGUUGGAUGAGAUCAAGUGUCAACUCUUUCCAAGGAACUCUGCUGCC